GUGGGGAAUUUUGGACAAUGGGGGCAACCCUGAUCCAGCCAUUCCGCGUGAGUGAAGAAGGCCUUCGGGUUGUAAAGCUCUUUCAGCUGGAACGAAACGGUACGCGCUAACAUCGUGUGCUAAUGACGGUACCAGCAGAAGAAGCACCGGCUAACUACGUGCCAGCAGCCGCGGUAAUACGUAGGGUGCGAGCGUUAAUCGGAAUUACUGGGCGUAAAGCGUGCGCAGGCGGAUUGUUAAGCAAGACGUGAAAUCCCCGGGCUUAACCUGGGAAUGGCGUUUUGAACUGGCAGUCUAGAGUGCGUCAGAGGGGGGUGGAAUUCCACGUGUAGCAGUGAAAUGCGUAGAGAUGUGGAGGAACACCGAUGGCGAAGGCAGCCCCCUGGGAUGACACUGACGCUCAUGUACGAAAGCGUGGGUAGCAAACAGG
rnacentral:rRNA from 1 species